rnacentral:ncRNA from 3 species
AGGGGAAUCCGACUGUUU